CUUUUUUCAGGCAUCUUAUU
rnacentral:tRNA from 1 species